GACAAAUUGUUUUGAUGUCAUGCUCUUUUCACAGAUCCAGGGCCAGUCAUCUCUUCCUGGAAUGAAGACUCAGGACUUGCUUUGCUCUGGCCCACUGAGGGGCAGAGCUCAGUCUAGACAGGCCGAUGACCACAGCCCAGGAGAUCAGUGUCACACAAGAUGACCUUGAACCUUCCCAUGCCCUGAAUACUAAAAAAUGGAUCAAGAAAAUGAUGUACGAAGAAAAAAAGAGUGAGUAUAAUAAACCUUUACUAAUUUACACUGUAUGUUCAAGCUACAUUUAUUUUCACAUUGUUGUUUGUUACUU
rnacentral:lncRNA from 1 species